AGGUGCUUAAAGGCGGGAGCGGGCUUCCUCGUCGGCUCGCGGGACAAAUACGGCAUUCUUCAGGAGACGAUGGCGAACGUCUCGCACACCUGUGUUCUCCACUUGCAGAGUAAUUAGGGACUGGAUACUAUUUCAAGCUGGUUGUGUAUAAUAUCCCACUCGUGAGAGCUAGUGGGUAGGAAUUCUGGUUUUUAUGAAGCAGUAAAGCACCUUUUUUUUGUACGAACAUGCAUUUGGAUUGCCUUGGAUUGGUUUUAAAAUCUUUUUAAAUAUAUAGUUUUCCAAAUUUAUAAUUCCACACCAUGAUCUUUUAUUUAUUUUAUGAAGUCCAAAGGGAUGUUACUAAGAAUUAUAACUUUUAAGUGAGGAGGAACCUUCUCCGCUAGAGCCAGACUCCAUCCAGCACAGACUGUCAAGGCAAAUAUGAAAUAACCCAAAAAUUAUUGAGUGCGUAUGCCUAUGUACUAAACCGCACGGAGUCAAGAAGCGAAAGAAAAGAAAACGAGUAACUGGGGGUGGAAAAAACGAGCGUGGCCAAUAAAAUGUAACACUGUUAUUGAAGUGAGUAGGGGUAGGAGAGGGUAAGGCUGGGUCACUCGGGGUGUCAAUGAGUAACUUAGGGAGACUUAAAAUACAAGCCAACCCUUGAGGAUACCGUGCUGCCUUCCCAGAAUGCAUCUGUGAAUAGGGCCCCAGUUCAAUAAAAAUGCAGGUACCUGGAUUAUACAAGAGACAUUUCACCUUCUAAGAUUUCCCAGUUUUUUUUUUUAAGACUUCAAAUUAAUUUAUUCAUGAAUGGGCCAUUUUUCCAUCACUUGAGUGCUAAAUUAAAGUUUUUAUUUUUGGCCCGUUCAUCUCAUUUAAAGAUUUUCUGAAUUAAUCAUCGACGUAAAUAUUAAUUAGCGAAGAGGCAUUUUCAAAUUUCGUACAUUUCUGAAAUUACAAGGACCUUUUGUGGUUCCCUCAAUAAAACUAUUUCAGCGGCUGAGGAGGUCUGACCUUUGCCUGUACCACAGAAAUCGCUGCUCUGUUUUAUAGUUCCCAGUAACUGGUGACAAACACAACUAAUGAUGCCUUGAAAAGAAAUGUAGGACGAAUCCUUUCAAUAUCUGGGCUAAUAACUACACCAAGAAACUAACGCAUCAUAGUCAUAUUAUAAGAAAAGAUUCAUUUUAGUUAUGUUAGUAAAUACGCAGAUGCAAUGGCUCAUGGGAAAAUCCCAAGUGAAAAUACACCGUGAAGGUGACAUAGUACACGCUGGAUGCCGUGUAUUCUCAUCCAUAGCCGCAAACCUCUUUUUUAUAUUUUUUUCGAUAAGAGAGAGUCAUACCUUCAUUGCUCUGGUUAAACCAACUAUUUCUGUCAAAUCUCUUGCCUUUCCCAAAGCCUGUAAACGUUUAGUAAAUAUUUAGUAAUCAUUUUUAUCAUUGUCCUCUGCUACUGUCCAUCAGUGUAGGGUAAUGGUGGCAGAAUCACUGGCUUUUUAUGACUGGCCAUGUGCUUAUCUUAUGUGCCUUCUAUCGGGAGUCAUUGAUGUUAAGUCCCCAAAGGAAGGUUGUGUUGUUCC